GUCAUCUUCACCCUCAGGCUGGUAGACUCCAGUCUCUUAGGUCAGAAUGGGAUUAGAGACCCGUUCCUGAACCAGUCACACACAGCGGGUGAAACUGCUAUGAUUGGUUUAGACUUAGAGACUGGAAUGGAUGCUGUCCCCAGAUAGCAGAUGACUGGUAGGAAGAUGAGGCAAGUUUGCGGUCCAUUGUCAUGGAUAGUGGAGACAACACUGGGCCAGAAGUGGUAAGACCUGAAUCCAAGACUCAGCUCUGCCACUUGCUAAAUGGGACUUUGAAUAAACCAUUUCUCUGCACUUAAGUUCCUUACCAACAAAACGAGGGAAGUGGCCUACAUGCCUAGAUAUCAACAUUUCAUGUCACGUAGAGAUCUAGCAUCACAAGAAUCCAAGUCAUCCUCUGUU
rnacentral:lncRNA from 10 species